rnacentral:rRNA from 1 species
UACGUAGGGUGCAAGCGUUAAUCGGAAUUACUGGGCGUAAAGCGUGCGCAGGCGGUUUCGUAAGUCUGUCGUGAAAUCCCCGGGCUCAACCUGGGAACUGCAUUUGUGACUGUAGAGCUGGAGUGCGGCAGAGGGGGAUGGAAUUCCGCGUGUAGCAGUGAAAUGCGUAGAUAUGCGGAGGAGCACCGAUGGCGAAGGCAAUCCCCUGGGCCUGCACUGACGCUCAUGCACGAAAGCGUGGGGAGCAAACAGG